rnacentral:misc_RNA from 1 species
GAUGAAGAACGUAGCGAAAUGCGAUAACUAAUGUGAAUUGCAGAAUUCAGUGAAUCAUCGAGUCUUUGAACGCACAUUGCGCCCCCUGGUAUUCCGGGGGGCAUGCCUGUCCGAGCGUCAUUGCUGCCCUCAAGCACGGCUUGUGUGUUGGGCUCCGUCCCCCCGGGGACGGGUCCGAAAGGCAGCGGCGGCACCGAGUCCGGUCCUCGAGCGUAUGGGGCUUUGUCACCCGCUCUGUAGGCCCGGCCGGCGCCAGCCGACAACCAAUCAUCCUUUUUUCAGGUUGACCUCGGAUCAGGUAGGGAUACCCGCUGAACUUAAGCAUAUCAAUAAGCGGAGA